rnacentral:rRNA from 1 species
ACACAUGCAAGUCGAACGGAGUUCUUGAGGAAUGCGGCUUCGGCCAAAUGACUUUUGAACUUAGUGGCGGACGGGUGAGUAACGCGUGAGCAACCUGCCUUUCAGAGGGGGAUAACAUUUGGAAACAGAUGCUAAUACCGCAUAAGAUUACAGUACCGCAUGAUACAGUGAUCAAAGGAGCAAUCCGCUGAAAGAUGGGCUCGCGUCCGAUUAGAUAGUUGGUGAGGUAACGGCUCACCAAGUCGACGAUCGGUAGCCGGACUGAGAGGUUGAACGGCCACAUUGGGACUGAGACACGGCCCAGACUCCUACGGGAGGCAGCAGUGGGGAAUAUUGCACAAUGGGCGAAAGCCUGAUGCAGCAACGCCGCGUGAGGGAAGACGGUUUUCGGAUUGUAAACCUCUGUUUUCGGUGACGAACAAAUGACGGUAACCGAGUAGGAAGCCACGGCUAACUACGUGCCAGCAGCCGCGGUAAUACGUAGGUGGCAAGCGUUAUCCGGAAUUACUGGGUGUAAAGGGAGCGCAGGCGGGAUAGCAAGUCAGCUGUGAAAACUAUGGGCUCAACCCAUAAACUGCAGUUGAAACUGUUAUUCUUGAGUGGAGUAGAGGCAAGCGGAAUUCCGAGUGUAGCGGUGAAAUGCGUAGAUAUUCGGAGGAACACCAGUGGCGAAGGCGGCUUGCUGGGCUCUAACUGACGCUGAGGCUCGAAAGUGUGGGGAGCAAACAGGAUUAGAUACCCUGGUAGUCCACACUGUAAACGAUGAUUGCUAGGUGUGGGGGGUCUGACCCCCUCCGUGCCGGAGUUAACGCAAUAAGCAAUCCACCUGGGG